UACGUAGGGCGCAAGCGUUAUCCGGAAUUAUUGGGCGUAAAGAGCUCGUAGGCGGUUUGUCGCGUCUGCCGUGAAAGUCCGGGGCUCAACUCCGGAUCUGCGGUGGGUACGGGCAGACUAGAGUGAUGUAGGGGAGACUGGAAUUCCUGGUGUAGCGGUGAAAUGCGCAGAUAUCAGGAGGAACACCGGUGGCGAAGGCGGUAGUCUGGGCCGGUACUGACGCUGAGGAGCGAAAGCGUGGGGAGCGAACAGG
rnacentral:rRNA from 1 species